GCCAUACCAGAAUAUUCAGAAGUUCCCAAACCAGGAAGCAAAACUAUUCCACUACUUUGACACAAGCCAUAGCAGUGUCCUUAACCUGCUAUGCCACCAAGGUACUCUGUGAACAUUUAAAAAGUAAAUAAACUAAAUGAAGAAACAAACAUGAGCAUACAAUGUACUAAAUGCCACAAAGCUUUAAAUAAAUAUUUAAAGAAAAAAUGAUUAUUCAUUGUAGAAUAAGAUGCUAUGAAAUAGACAUUUUCAUAUAUUGCCAACAGUAAUACAAGGAUUAGAAAACAACUUGGCAAUAAUCCUUUGACCUUAUCUUGAAUAAAUCUGCCUUUUUCAUCUAUAUAAAUAAAAUAAUUCUAAGGAAAUAAUUUUAAUGACAAAAGAUAUGAAUCUAAGAAUUAUUUAAAACAGCCAAAAAAAAACUGCGAAUAAGUAAAAUGUGCAAUAAUGACUAAGUAAACAGUCAUGUAUAAAAGUCACAUGAUACCAUACCAGCCACUAUAAACAGGAUUAAGAUGGCAGAAUACAAGGACUGGAGCUCAACUUCUCUCCUAAAAACAACAAAAUUCACAACUAAAGACUGAGCAAUCUCCACCCAAAUGGACCGGAAACCUUAAAAAAGAUACCCUACUCCAGAAGAAAAAGAGGAGACCACAUCAAGAGGUAGGAGGGGCAAUUUCACGACAUAAACAACCCCAUACCUCUGGGGUGAGAAGCUUCACAGACUGGAAACUAACUCACAGAGACUCACCUACAGGAGUGAGAGUUCUGAGCCCCGCAUCAAACCCUCACCUGUGGGGAUCUGGCACUGGGAGAAAGAGACCCUGGAGCAUCUGGCAUUGAAGGCCAGUGGGGCUUGUGUGCAGGAGCUCCAUGGGACUGGGGGAAAUGGAGACCCCAUUCUUAAAAGGCGCACACAGACUUUCACGUGUACUGGGUCCCAGGGCAGAGCGAGGUCUCCAUAGGAAUGUGGGUCAAACCUAACUGCAGUUCUUGGAGGACAUCCUGGGAAAACAGGGGUGAAGGUGGCUUGUUGUGAGGAAAAGACACUGGAAGCAAAGCUCUCAGGAAUAUUCAGCAGCCUGCCUGUAUCUGGAGGUGGCCAUUUUGGGAAAAUCUGGCCCCAUCCAUCAGUCAGCACUGAGAAGCCCCAGGGCAAACAACAAUCCAGGUGGGAUCACAG
rnacentral:lncRNA from 1 species